rnacentral:rRNA from 1 species
GACGAACGCUGGCGGCGUGCUUAACACAUGCAAGUCGAGCGGUAAGGCCCUUCGGGGUACACGAGCGGCGAACGGGUGAGUAACACGUGGGUGACCUGCCUCUAGCUCUGGGAUAAGCCUGGGAAACUGGGUCUAAUACCGGAUAUGACUCCACGGCGCAUGUUGUGGGGUGGAAAGCCUUGUGUGGCUAGAGAUGGGCCCGCGGCCUAUCAGCUUGUUGGUGGGGUGAUGGCCUACCAAGGCGACGACGGGUAGCCGGCCUGAGAGGGCGACCGGCCACACUGGGACUGAGACACGGCCCAGACUCCUACGGGAGGCAGCAGUGGGGAAUUGUUCACAAUGGGCGCAAGCCUGAUGACGCAACGCCGCGU